AAUUACUGGAAAUUGAGUCUUGUUACCGUUAUUUGGGAACACCGGUAGUUUAACUGGCGUUGCUCGACGUCGUAGAAGAGCGUAAACCUGACCAAGGGAGUGCUUUACGGGCGGGGGAAUGUGAGGACGAGUACCCCUCGACAAAUACCCGUUGCAAUGAACCACAGGGAUCGUUUGCAGCGUAUUCUUCCACGCGACUCCCACGUUUGACAACGACAGACGAUGAGAUGGUAGAUGUCAGUGAGGAUGACGUGCAGAAUUGAUAGGAGGUGCAAACACUAAUGAAUGGUUAAUUUGAUAUUUUUGCAAAACCUUAAAAACUACUUAUAUCUACUUAUCAACUAAGUUAAUUUGUGGACUUAAUAAGUGACUUCAGCCUAGUCUACGAGUACGGAUUGAGCCUACUAAAUCUAAAGAUAAACAAAGGAAAAACUGAAAAAAUCUAAAGCUUUUCCCAACCCUACAAAGUGUUUCGGAGCUGCUAUUAGAUUCAGUUCAAGGAUUUACCGCAUUUAGUUCACCACUGAACUGCGAACUGCGACUUCAUAAGUGCGACAACGUAAAUAAAAGUGCGCGUUUGCAUCAAAUCAGGUUGAUGUCUUCGGCGCACUAUUUCUUCAAUCUAUGGUGAACAAGUGCUCUGAAGACACCGAGUUGAUUUGAUGCAAUCGCGCACUUUUAUUAACGUUUUCGCACUCGUGAAAACUAGUGCGAUAGUCCAGUGGUGAACUAAAUGCGCUAUACUCAAGUAAUUUACUGUUUUCUAGUAACUGUUUUCGCA